rnacentral:rRNA from 1 species
UACGUAGGGUGCGAGCGUUAAUCGGAAUUACUGGGCGUAAAGCGUGCGUAGGCGGUUGGCAAAGUCAGCUGUGAAAGCCCCGGGCUCAACCUGGGAAUUGCAUUUGAGACUGCGUAGCUAGGGUGCGGAAGAGGGAAGCGGAAUUUCCGGUGUAGCGGUGAAAUGCGUAGAUAUCGGAAGGAACACCAGUGGCGAAAGCGGCUUCCUGGUCCAGCACCGACGUUCAGGCACGAAAGCGUGGGGAGCAAACAGG